rnacentral:rRNA from 1 species
UACGUAGGGGGCAAGCGUUGUCCGGAUUUAUUGGGCGUAAAGAGCGUGUAGGCGGCCAGGUAGGUCCGUUGUGAAAACUGGAGGCUUAACCUCCAGCUGUCGAUGGAAACCAUCUGGCUAGAGUCCGGAAGAGGAGAGUGGAAUUCCUGGUGUAGCGGUGAAAUGCGCAGAUAUCAGGAAGAACACCCGUGGCGAAGGCGGCUCUCUGGGACGGUACUGACGCUGAGACGCGAAGGCGUGGGGAGCGAACAGG